UACGUAGGCAGCAAGCGUUGUUCGGAGUUACUGGGCGUAAAGGGUGCGUAGGCGGCUUUUUAAGUUUGGUGUGAAAUCUCCCGGCUCAACUGGGAGGGUGCGCCGAAUACUGAAUGACUAGAGUGCGGGAGAGGAUAGUGGAAUUCCUGGUGUAGCGGUGAAAUGCGUAGAUAUCAGGAGGAACACCGGUGGUGUAGACGGCUAUCUGGACCGUAACUGACGCUGAGGCACGAAAGCGUGGGUAGCAAACAGG
rnacentral:rRNA from 1 species